GACGAACGCUGGCGGCGUGCUUAACACAUGCAAGUCGAACGCUGAAGCCUAGCUUGCUGGGUGGAUGAGUGGCGAACGGGUGAGUAACACGUGAGUAACCUGCCCUCUUCUUUGGGAUAACGCCCGGAAACGGGUGCUAAUACUGGAUAUUCACUGGCCUUCGCAUGGGGGUUGGUGGAAAGGUUUUUUCUGGUGGGGGAUGGGCUCGCGGCCUAUCAGCUUGUUGGUGGGGUGAUGGCCUACCAAGGCUUUGACGGGUAGCCGGCCUGAGAGGGUGACCGGUCACAUUGGGACUGAGAUACGGCCCAGACUCCUACGGGAGGCAGCAGUGGGGAAUAUUGCACAAUGGGCGAAAGCCUGAUGCAGCGACGCCGCGUGAGGGAUGGAGGCCUUCGGGUUGUAAACCUCUUUCGCUCAUGGUCAAGCCGCAACUGUGGGUUGUGGUGAGGGUAGUGGGUAAAGAAGCGCCGGCUAACUACGUGCCAGCAGCCGCGGUAAUACGUAGGGCGCGAGCGUUGUCCGGAAUUAUUGGGCGUAAAGGGCUUGUAGGCGGUUGGUCGCGUCUGCCGUGAAAUCCUCUGGCUUAACUGGGGGCGUGCGGUGGGUACGGGCUGACUUGAGUGCGGUAGGGGAGACUGGAACUCCUGGUGUAGCGGUGGAAUGCGCAGAUAUCAGGAAGAACACCGGUGGCGAAGGCGGGUCUCUGGGCCGUUACUGACGCUGAGGAGCGAAAGCGUGGGGAGCGAACAGG
rnacentral:rRNA from 1 species